CUAACAAGGAUUCCCCUAGUAACGGCGAGUGAAGCGGGAUGAGCUCAAAUUUAAAAUCUGGCGGUCUCAGAUCGUCCGAGUUGUAGUCUAGAGAAGCGUUUUCCGUGCUGGCCUGUGUACAAGUCCGUUGGAACACGGCGUCAUAGAGGGUGAGAAUCCCGUCCUUGACACAGAUCUCCAGUGCUUUGUGAUGCGCUCUCAAAGAGUCGAGUUGUUUGGGAAUGCAGCUCAAAAUGGGUGGUAAAUUCCAUCUAAAGCUAAAUAUUGGCGAGAAACCGAUAGCGAACAAGUACCGUGAGGGAAAGAUGAAAAGCACUUUGGAAAGAGAGUUAAACAGUACGUGAAAUUGUUGAAAGGGAAACGAUUGAAGUCAGUCAUGCUUUCCGAGACUCAGCCGGUUCUGCCGGUGUACUUCUCGGUUUGCAGGCCAGCAUCAGUUUUGGGCGGUGGAAAAGGUUGGCGGGAAUGUGGCAUCCUCGGAUGUGUUAUAGCCCGCUUUCGAAUACAUCGCCCGGGACUGAGGAACGCAGCACGCCUCUUGUAGGUCGGUCUUCGGACACGUCCGUGCUUAGGAUGCUGGCAUAAUGGCUUUAAACGACCCGUCUUGAAACA
rnacentral:rRNA from 1 species